ACAUCGGUGGUGGAGUGGUUAUCAUGGUCGCUUCCCAUAUCUGAGCCAGCGAUCGUCCCGGGUUCGAACCCCGGCCGAUGUA